GCCAGAAGAUAAACAACGCACCCUUCCCUACUUUUUCCCUGUUGGUCCUAGUUUUGCUAUAUGUAUACCUAAAUUUGGUAUUUCUGAUCACUAAGGUGAGCUCAUCCUUUAAUGUUAUUACUGAUAGGCA
rnacentral:lncRNA from 1 species